rnacentral:rRNA from 1 species
GCUGGCGGAAUGCUUUACACAUGCAAGUCGAACGGCAGCACGGGGGCAACCCUGGUGGCGAGUGGCGAACGGGUGAGUAAUAUAUCGGAACGUGCCCAGUCGUGGGGGAUAACGUAGCGAAAGUUACGCUAAUACCGCAUACGAUCUACGGAUGAAAGCGGGGGAUCGCAAGACCUCGCGCGAUUGGAGCGGCCGAUAUCAGAUUAGGUAGUUGGUGGGGUAAAGGCUCACCAAGCCAACGAUCUGUAGCUGGUCUGAGAGGACGACCAGCCACACUGGGACUGAGACACGGCCCAGACUCCUACGGGAGGCAGCAGUGGGGAAUUUUGGACAAUGGACGCAAGUCUGAUCCAGCCAUUCCGCGUGCAGGACGAAGGCCUUCGGGUUGUAAACUGCUUUUGUACGGAACGAAAAAGCUCUUACUAAUACUAGGAGUCCAUGACGGUACCGUAAGAAUAAGCACCGGCUAACUACGUGCCAGCAGCCGCGGUAAUACGUAGGGUGCGAGCGUUAAUCGGAAUUACUGGGCGUAAAGCGUGCGCAGGCGGUUAUAUAAGACAGAUGUGAAAUCCCCGGGCUCAACCUGGGAACUGCAUUUGUGACUGUAUAGCUAGAGUGCGGCAGAGGGGGAUGGAAUUCCGCGUGUAGCAGUGAAAUGCGUAGAUAUGCGGAGGAACACCGAUGGCGAAGGC